rnacentral:tRNA from 1 species
GCCCCGGUAGCUCAGGGGAUAGAGCGGCUGCCUUCUAAGCAGCGGGUCGUGGGUUCGAAUCCCACCCGGGGCACCA